GAUGAACGCUGGCGGCGUGCCUAAUACAUGCAAGUCGAGCGAACAGACGAGGAGCUUGCUCCUCUGACGUUAGCGGCGGACGGGUGGGUAACACGUGGAUAACCUACCUAUAAGACUGGGAUAACUUCGGGAAACCGGAGCUAAUACCGGAUAAUAUAUUGAACCGCAUGGAUCAAUAGUGAAAGACGGUUUUGCUGUCACUUAUAGAUGGAUCCGCGCCGCAUUAGCUAGUUGGUAAGGUAACGGCUAACCAAGGCAACGAUGCGUAGCCGACCUGAGAGGGUGAUCGGCCACACUGGAACUGAGACACGGUCCAGACUCCUACGGGAGGCAGCAGUAGGGAAUCUUCCGCAAUGGGCGAAAGCUUGACGCAGCAACGCCGCGUGAGUGAUGAAGGUCUUCGGAUCGUAAAACUCUUUUAUUAGGGAAGAACAAAUGUGUAAUUAACUCUGCCCGUCUUGACGGUACCUAAUCAGAAAGCCACGGCUAACUACGUG
rnacentral:rRNA from 1 species